GCGCUCAUUCGGUAGCAUGUAGACUAGAACUGGAAUGAUCCAGAGAAGAUUACCAUCGCCCCUCGGAAGGAUGGCAGGCAAAUUUGUGAGGCGUUCCUUAUUUAG